ACUCCUACGGGAGGCAGCAGUGGGGAAUAUUGCACAAUGGGGAAACCCUGAUGCAGCCAUGCCGCGUGUGUGAAGAAGGCCUUCGGUUGUAAAGCACUUUCAGUAGGGAGGAAGGUAGUGUAGUUAACACCUGCACUAUUUGACGUUACCUACAGAAGAAGCACCGGCUAACUCCGUGCCAGCAGCCGCGGUAAUACGGAGGGGUGCGAGCGUUAAUCGGAAUUACUGGCGUAAAGCGCAUGCAGGUGGUUUGUUAAGUCAGAUGUGAAAGCCCGGGGGCGUCAACCUCGGAAUUGCAUUUGAAACUGGCAGGCUAGAGUCUUGUAGAGGGGGUAGAAUUUCAGGUGUAGCGGUGAAAUGCGUAGAGAUCUGAAGGAAUACCAGUGGCGAAGGCGGCCCCCUGGACAAAGACUGACGCUCAGAUGCGAAAGCGUGGGGAGCAAACAGGAUUAGAUACCCUGGUAGCACAGAG
rnacentral:rRNA from 1 species